rnacentral:rRNA from 1 species
UAACUUUCUUUGGGUCAACAAAGGAAUCUGGCAAUUCAUUAGCUAGCUUUUGCAAAUUUAUUAUUUUCUGGACCUCUGAUUCACAUGCCAGAGUCCGAGGAUCUUGCCAAUUCAAGGAUGUUUGAUUCCAUGAUAUUUCUUUUAUAUCUUUACCCAGCUUGUUCGUCUCUCCACCUAAAGUAGGAAAUUCGGAUUCAUUAAAAUGACAAUCCGCGUAUCUAGCCUUAAAUAGAUCACCCGUAGUUGGCUCUAGAUACUUAAUAAUGGUGGGAGAAUCAAAUCCAACAUAUAUUCCCAUCCUCCUUUUAGGUCCCAUCUUUGUUCUAUGUGGUGGAGCAAUCGGUACAUAUACGGCACACCCGAAAGUCUUUAGAUGGGAUAUGUCUGGCUCAUGACCCAUGAGUAAUUGGGAUGGUGAAUAUCUAUGUUCACUAGAUGGCCUUAUGCGUAUAAGUUCUGAUGCAUGUAAAACAGUGUGUCCCCAAGCGGCUACUGGAAGCUUCGACCUCAUGAGUAAUGGUCGAGCUAUCAAUUGAAUUCGUUUAAUGAAGGAUUCCGCUAAUCCAUUCUGUGUAUGUACAUGUGCUACGGGAUGUUCCACACUUACCCCCAUGGACAUACAGUAGUCAUUAAACGCUUGGGACGUGAAUUCACCGGCAUUAUCUAGACGUAUAGUCUUAAGCGGAAAGUCUGGAAAGUGGGCUCGCAGUCUUAUUAUCUGGGCCAAUAACCUAGCAAACCCUUGGUUUCUAGUAGAUAGGAGACAAACAUGCGACCAUCUUGUCGAUGCGUCAAUGAGAACCAUAAAGUAUCUAAACGUCCCACAUGGUGGGUGUAUUGGUCCACAUAUAUCCCCUUGUAUCCUUUCCAGAAAAUUUAAGGUCUCUUUAUUUACCUUAGCCGGUGAUGGCCUUAUAAUGAGUUUCCCUUGUGAACAUGCUUCACACGUGAGAUUCUUAGGGAUAACUCUUUUCUCUCUUAGGGUGUGCCACUUUGAAUUAGUUAUUAGUUUACGCAUCAUACUAUGACCCGGAUGGCCAAGCCGGUCAUGCCAUAAAGUGAAUUUCUCGAUGAACUCUUUGUUCAUUGCCAUAUUAGCUUCGAUCAUAUCGAUUUUAGCAUAGUAGAGACUAGUGGAUAAUGCGGGUAUAGUCUCUAGGACUUUCUUAUGUCCUUUGGUGAUCUCAAUUAUAUUUAGGAAUUCUUUGUUCCCUUCACCCUUUGUUUCAAUAUGGAAACCAUCCAAUCUUAUAUCUUUAAAACUCAAUAAGCUCCUUUUUGAGCUGGGUGAAAACAAGGCACCGCUUAGUUCAAGAUGCGUGCCCUUUGAUAAAAGUAUAUGGGCUUGACCGUGGCCCUCAAUAAGACUAGCUAUACCCGCUAUGGUGCUAAUAUUGGCAUUUUUCAUUAUGAGAUUUAGAAAAUAUCUCUUGUCCUUUUAAGAUCAUGUGGCUUGAUCCACUAUCAACCACAAGUAUCUUCUUGUCCUUAGUUAUUUCUUAUAUGGACAAGAAUCAUGUUUUAAACAUAAAGUAAUAUGAAAUAAAUUCAAGCAAAUAACAAUCAAUGAAAACAUAAAAUGCAAAGAAAACAUAGAGGUUUUGAUGUCGAAGUAAGAUUUAUCAACUUGAUUCUUUUAUGCAAUCAGAAGUUUCAUACUCUAUUAGAUCAUCUUGAUCAUGUUCACCAUCUUUAUAUACCAAAUGGGUUUUAGGAUUCUUCCCUUUUACACUCUCUUGAUAGAGGUCACAACGAUGUUUGGAAGUCCUACAUAUCUUUGCCCAAUGGUUUCCCAUUCCAUAUCUAUGGCAUACUCAUUUGGUCGAGUGUUGUGGUUUGGAAAUACCACAUCGUCCUCGCCCUCGACCACGGCCGGAAUUGGGUCUACAUCCACGGUUAUAGUGGUUCCCACGGCCGGAUGAGUUAUAGUGGCCACAACCACGUCCUUUCAAUACCACAUCUAUGACAUACUCAUUUGGUCGAGUGUUGUGGUUUGGAAAUACCACAUCGUCCUCGCCCUCGACCACGGCCGGAAUUGGGUCUACAUCCACGGUUAUAGUGGUUCCCACGGCCGGAUGAGUUAUAGUGGCCACAACCACGUCCUUUCCAUCCACCACGGUCACGGCCGUGUGGUCUAUCACUUUAGACGUGGUUAGAUUCUUUGGAUUCUUUCUUAUCCUCUGCGGCCUUAUUGGCAUUAGGUAAUGGGGUUAAUCUAUGAGGUCGUAAUCUAUGAGACUCUCAAUAAGACGGUGGCUAAUAUUGCCUUGUAUCUAUCUUUCUCUCUUGGCGUUAUUGCCUUAUUAGAUACAUUCACCAAGUCCUUUUGACUUUAGGAUAAUCUUAGUAUCCAUUGCCCAUUUUAAAUAAUUAUCUUCUAAGAGAUUUAGGGCAGUAAAGUACAAGUUGUAAUUCAACAUCUACAAGGAAAAGUUUUGAGUCAAAAUCAUGUAAUCGUUAGUGUCAUGCGGUAUUUGAGACCGAACCAUGAAUCGAUUUA